rnacentral:lncRNA from 1 species
UUCAGGGAACUUUGCCAGCAUGGAUGUGUUUGAUGGUACUCUGCUGGCUGGGAAGUUCAGAAGUGAAAUAGCCCCAGAAUAUGGCCAUCCCUCUUAUCCACAGUUUUACUUUCUGUCGUUUCAGUUACUUCCAUGCAACUGAUGGUCUAGAGGCAGAUGAUUCUCCUUCCGAUGUAUUGUCAGGAGGUAAAAAACAGACUAACACUACAUCACAAUGGCUAUGUCAUUUACCUCAUUCCAACUCAUCAUGUAGAUAUUUUAUCAUCUCCCAUCCUAACAGGAAAGGGGUGAUACAGAAGCUGUGCUGAAGGAUAAGAUUGACUCAGUCGUGGCAGAAGUAUGUGGGCAAAGAGCGUGAAGCAUUGGAGGAUCUGCACAAAGGCCUGAGCAACUCAAUAACAACGAACAGCUGAAGGAUGCUAAAAAUGGGAGAAGCUGGUAAACAAUGCAGAGCAUUGAAACUCCUGGUAAGGUGCUUGUACACCAUACUUUAAACAGUUUGAUUUCCCAGAAGAUGCCAUGUAUUCCAUUGUCAUGCUUUUUUUUUUUUUUAACAAAUGUGCUGUUCCUUUCAACACUUUACCUUUUUUGAAUUUUUUUUUUUUUUUUUUGCCUCAGUUGUGGCGUUUGUCACACUAUCUUGUAAAUCACAUACUUGUCUGUAUCCAUAGGCUAUGGUUUUGGGGGUUCAGGGGUAUUUCAUUUUAACCUUUCUAUCUCCAAACACCUAGAACAAUGGAUAGCACAUAGCAAAUGCCUGGCAAAUAUUUGUAGAACAAAUGUGUUCAUUUCCUACUGUCCGCUCUGCCUCAAUGCAUUUCAUUCAAUGCUAAGCUUGUUCUGCUCUUGAGAUGUCAAUCAUCCCCAGAGCCAGGCGGCAGUGUUAGACAUGGUGAUUGCUCUCCUAAGUGCCUUCACUUCCAGCUGGGAUUCUGGACCUGGCACUGAAGCCAAGCUACAAAUGACCUAAUUAGUCUUUUGGUUAUUUCCAAAAAUUUUGAGAAUUGAGAUGGCCAAAAACUGGGACAUGCGGAGUCUGAUGAAAGCUGAAAUGUUUAGGGUGCCAGAUGCAAGUCUUUUAGACAGCCUCAAUAGUUUCCAAAACAAAGUAGUUUGCAUUUUAAUUGUUUUCUGGAACUUUUAUCAACAAAAUAUGUUCAUUGACUAAUCAGAUCUUUGUACCAGAUUAGAAACUAACAGUGUGUUGGCCGCAAAAAUAAGAUACAGAAUCUUUCUUUUUGGCCCUGGUCUGAAAGAAUUUCUGAUAGAAUUCAGCCAGAUGCCGUGUAUCUCUUUCUAGAGUACAAUUUUGGGGCUAACUAAGAGUGAGCUGCCCUUGGAUCCUAUGCUUCUAAUCAAUGUCAGAGAGUGGAUGCUAAGGAGGCAGCCCUCCCAGAGGAGUCAGUACUUAAUGGAAUUUUGACAGGCUUUUAAUGCUCUUUUAGAAAGGCCCAUCUCUUGUUUGCGAGUCACAGUUUGUUGGUGAGUUUAAUGACUGAUGUCACAAAUAAAUGUACUAAUACCCUAUUGGUAUACUCCAGGGAAAAGCCAGCAACAAGACAUUUUUUGACUAAGACAACAUUCAAGGAGUGACUGAUGAAUUUAAAGUUUAGCACCAUGUAUUUAACAUAAUGAGUGACUGUGACUUAGAAACUAUACUCAAAUCUUUCGAAUGCCUCACAGAAGGCUAUGCCAUAAUACCGUGUAAGAAUAUCUCACAUGGGCACCUGGGUGGCUCAGUGAGUUAAAGCCUCUGCCUUCGGCUCAGGUCAUGAUUUAAGGGUCCUGGGAUUGAGUCCCGCAUCGGGCUCUCUGCUUAGCAGGGAGCCUGCUUCUCCCUCUCUCUCUGCCUAUUUGUGAUCUCUCU